GGGCCACUCACACCGAGAAGCCUCAAACCUGACGCACAACGCCGCGUGAGUGAGGAAGGUUUUCGGAUCGUAAAGCUCUGUCGAGUGGGAAGAAAUGUAUCAUGGCUAAUAUCCAUGAUACUUGACGGUACCGCUAAAGGAAGCACCGGCUAACUCCGUGCCAGCAGCCGCGGUAAUACGGGGGGUGCAAGCGUUGUUCGGAAUUAUUGGGCGUAAAGAGCGUGUAGGCGGCUGAAUAAGUCAGAUGUGAAAUCCCUGGGCUUAACCCAGGAAGUGCAUUUGAAACUAUUCAGCUUGAGUAGGGGAGAGGAAAGUGGAAUUCCUGGUGUAGAGGUGAAAUUCGUAGAUAUCAGGAGGAACACCGGUGGCGAAGGCGACUUUCUGGCCCUAUACUGACGCUGAGACGCGAGAGCGUGGGUAGCAAACAGGAUUAGAUACCCUGGUAGUCCACGCUGUAAACGAU
rnacentral:rRNA from 1 species